UACGUAGGGUCCGAGCGUUGUCCGGAGUUACUGGGCGUAAAGCGCGCGCAGGCGGUUAAUCAAGCCCGGCGUGAAAGCCCCCGGCUCAACCGGGGAGGGUCGUCGGGGACUGGUUGACUUGAGGGUGGCAGGGGUCGGUGGAAUUCCCGGUGUAGUGGUGAAAUGCGUAGAGAUCGGGAGGAACACCUGUGGCGAAGGCGGCCGGCUGGGCCAACUCUGACGCUGAGGCGCGAAGGCGUGGGGAGCGAACGGG
rnacentral:rRNA from 1 species